CAGUCUUGAACUCACCGGAAAUCUCGAAUGUGAUGCGGUUGGUGUUUUUCCCGAAACGAGACCAUUUCUAUUGUUUCACCCAUCGUUCAUUGCUCUUCGUUUUCCUUCGCGCAAAAGCAAAGUGCUGGCUAGAAUGGAUUCCAACAACAAGCAGACUGAUGAGCAACAACCAGUCAAAUCAGCACCAAGAUUCUCAUUUUGCCAAAGAAAGAAGUCUCGCAAUGGAAGCUUCGUGUCCAAUUUAAGAAAUCACUUUCAUGAGUUUAUGCAUGCUUCCGCAGACGAACACAAAACGUGCUUGAGAAAUACAAUUCAAAAGAUAUUAGAUGCAUCAAACUUUUUUGGGAAAAAUGGCCGCAGCACAAGUGAAGGAGACUCUGUAACCCUCCAGUCAUCUACAAAAAACUAGAAGGCUUUCUUGACUCAUCAUCAGUAGAGUGAUAAGAGAGUUUAUAAGACAUCCGUGGCCUUAUACAAUGCAUUCUUUUGCUUGAUACACGAAUAAUAUAUAUGUGAUGUGAUGCUCUAUGUUUCACUGCCAAGUCGUUUGGUAAUUUUUUAACUACUUAAACCCACAUACAAUAGAUAAAUUGUAGAAGCUUUCUUAUAUUAAUUUAUCUAAGAUAUGAUUUAAAUUUA